UAGGAAAAAGAAAACAAAAAAUAAAAUACUGUAAAAUGAAACUAAAAACAAUAGCAUGUUAAUCAGUGAAUCUUCUCUUCUCAAAGCUCAGUAAUUCUAAUAAUGGCGUGACCCUCCAUUCUCACAACCAUGUUUCUCUCUCAGUCUCAAUGUUGGAGCCUUUGAGGUAUGAUGGAGUAGAAGUAGCAGUUGUUAAAACACCAUGAUUGUGAGAUUGCCAAGACAAUUGACACCAACUCACCUUUCUCAAAUUAUACGGAACCAGAAAAACCCAUUAACAGCACCCCCAAAUCUUCAAGGAAGCCAAAUACAAGUACCCCAAUUACUAUCAUAAUGGUCCAGUCUAUGCCACCGUCAUUGGCAUCCUUGGAAAUGCUGGUCAGAUUUGUGAGAUGAAAGAGGUGAUUGAUUGGAUGAAAGAAGACUCAUGUGAAUGCAAGGAUUCAGUCUUUGUUAAUGCAAUUAAAACCUAUGCAAGAGCUGGAUUGCUAGAUGAAGCAGUCUCUCUUUUUAAAAGCACUCCUCAAUUCAACUGCGUGAAUAAGACAGAAUCUUUCAAUACCCUGUUUCAGAUAUUGGUCGAUUAAUGAAUCUAAGCUUGAAGCUGCUCAUUGUUUGUUCAUAGACAGCUCUUACGGGUGGGAAAUGAAGUCUCGGAUUGGGUCUUUGAACUUGCUUAUGGAUGCUCUGUGCCAGAGGGAUUGUUCUGAUCUUGCAUUAUAAAUCUUCCUAGAGAUAAAUUAUCAAGGUUGCUAUCCAAAUAAGGAAAGAUAUCGGAUUCUAAUGAAAGAAUUGUGUGAAGAUGGGAGGUUGAAUGAGGCCACCCAUUUGUUGUAUUCAAUGUUUUGGAGGAUAUCUCAGAAGGGUAGUGGUGAGGAUAUCGUAGUCUAUAGAACCUUGUUAUAUGUUUAUGUGAUAAUUGGGACAUUUAAAAUGCUGUGGAAAUUCUUGAUAAGAUUUUAAGGAAGGGGCUAAAGGCUCCUAAGCGAUGUUUCCACCAUCUUGAUCUCAGUCAGUGUAGUACUGGUGAAGAUAUAGAAGGCACCAAGCGUUUGAUUAAUGAAGCUUUGAUCAGAGGUGGGAUUCCGAGUUUGGCUAGUUAUAGUGCUAUGGCUAUUGAUUUGUACAAUGAAGGUAAGAUUAUUGAGGCGAACAAAGUUCUCAUUCAAAUGCAAGAAAGAGCAUUUAGGCCAACGAACUUGAUUUAUGAAGCCAAGGUGGCAGCAUUGUGUAGGGGAGGAAAUGUUGAUGCAGCAGUGAGGGUAAUUGAAGAGGAUAUGGAGGGAAAUUGUGUACCAAAUGUAAGGUCAUAUAAUUGAAGAGGAAAUGGAGGGUAAUUCAAACCCCCUGUUGACUUGAAUUUAUUUUUGUUCCCCUCUU